GGUACUGGGGCCCAAGUGGGAAUAAGCAAUCAUGUUCUCUAAGUUUUCUUAAAAACAAAUUUUAAUUGUUGCCACAAUUUCCUAGAGUGUGAAUUUCUCUUUAAAGAACGGUAUUUUUAUUAAUUGUUACAUAGUCAAUUAAAAAUAUUUUGUAUACAGUAUGAGGUUGGUAAUACACGGAAGAGACAAACGCAAGAUUACAUUAUAAAAAUGUUGCGUGUAAAAAUUAUAAAACGAGAACUGGAGAAUACAAAAUAAGGAAGAAACAAGACAUGAAUUUCUAGAGAAUGUUACUGUCCGUUUCAGUGGAAGCAGAAAGACAAAGGAAUUGAAAAUUGAAGGAAUUUGAAGAUUCCACGCCUAGCUUCUAACCAGUCACAACUGGGAUAGCUUUCACUCCUCAAUUGGCUAAAAACCCAAAAAGGCAUAUAUUGUGUAAUAGUCUAUACAUUAUAAUGUUGGACAGACAUCAUGCAUAUUACUUCUCAAAUCAAUAAAGCAGGUUCUAGGAACUCGGAUAAAUGACUGACUUUGCUGCAAGGUUUAAUGAACAAAAUAAAAAAAAAAAAGUCAUUCUUGACUUCAAUAGGACUCGAGUAUAAAACCUUUGUGUCCUGUACUGCCUCUCAUCCUUUUUGGAUUUGGGUGCCUUCCAUAUAAAAUCACUGCAGACUUACUGUUGCAGCUGAACUUCAUGGAGCUGUUCUACAAUUUGGAGGGUAAAACUGAUGUACAGUUUUCCUUUCUUAUCACUAGUUUCAGCACCUUCCCCUGUUUGAAUGAUACACAAGUCAGGGCCCUAAUAUAAGAAGAAUGCUGCAGGAAAUAAGAGCAAGCUCUCAAGUUGAUGCUAGUUUAAGUUUUCCUUUCAAUGUUUAAUUUUAAGUUAAUUUUGUUUGCCUUGUUCUAGUGGUCCUGUUGAAUUUCUACUCCCAAGCAAUAAGAAACUGCACGCUUGUAAUUUUACAUCUGCUAAGAAGUGUUUUUAACACCUUUUUGUUUUCUAUUCAUAAGCAGAGUUCUUUUGCUAUGGUAAUAUAAUUAAACAAGUAAAAAGCUUGUAGAAAAACAAAACAAAUUAUGAACUCCAGAAAAAGAGCCCUGCACAACGUCAGCAUUGGGUUUUGCCUCUUCAGCAACAUUGUGCAACUGCUGCAGAAAUAUUGAUAAAGAUAAUAAAUGUGUGAUUGUCCCCUGCUGCAAAGAAAGCUGUGGGAGGGGUUUAGAUAGAAGAAGUCUGUAGCGUUCCCUGCAAAUUAUUCCCUAAAGAGUUUAUAGAGGGCACAGCCUGAUCCUCAGGUUAACUCAUGCAUCUGUGCACUUUCAGUCCCCUUGGCAGCACGGCUCCAGCAGGAAACGUGCUUCUGCUGAUCGGGUCACGCUACGCCUGGUCAGUAGCAGCCACAGAACUACCUCGCACUCGGACAGCCACGCAGCAUCACGGGAUCGUGCUAGUGAUUUGUCCAAGUGCAUAUACAUUGAGCACUUCCUGACUUCCCCAGGCACAGAUAAAGAUCCAGACCUGCAUGAUUUCCAGCUUUUAUACAGGAAUAUAACAGGUGUUGGAGCAUCAUGAGCACAAUCAAUCAUUAUGUUCAGUUAUGCACUUGUUUAGAUCUCCCGUAUGCUGAAAUGCCAUCCUCAGAUGUUUUGAAGUUUUCCUUUUGGAUCAAAUGGCCACUGUACACAGACUGCUCAGUCCCAUAAUAUGAAGAAUUGCUGGAGAAGAAGUAAACAAGAAACAAUUUGUUGAAAAUUAUUUUACGAGGAAAGACCAAGAGGAAAUGGAGAGAAAAAACUGUCUCAGCAGUACUCCCAUCCCAGCAGCUAACACUUCGUCAAGGGUUUCCUGCUUGUCUUGCAGCAGCCGCUGGAGGUGCUUCAUUUCUUGCUGGUACUGAGCAGUCUUCCCAGCAAAUUCCUUCUCUUGCUCAGUCAUUUUGAGAUUGAUGUCUCCGAGCUUC